GAGAACACAUGCGGGACAUGCUGUCAGGGAUGCACAAUUGGUACGCUUGCUCUCAUGCCAGACCCACCUAUUGCAAUGUCUGUCGGGAAGCCCUCUCAGGCGUUACCUCACAUGGGCUUUCCUGUGAAGUAUGCAAAGUCAAGGCUCAUAAACGAUGCGCAGUACGAGCAAUGAACAACUGCAAGUGGACGACGCUGUCAUCGAUAGGCAAAGACAUCAUCGAGGAAGAAGAUGGGGUGAUUGCCAUGCCUCACCAGUGGUUAGAAGGUAACUUACCGGUCAGUGCCAAGUGUGCCGUCUGUGACAAGACUUGCGGGAGUGUCCUCCGUCUUCAGGACUGGCGUUGCCUCUGGUGCAGGGAAGUGGUCCAUUCCAGCUGCAAGGCCCACUACCCUGCCAAGUGCCCCUUGGGCCACUGUCGGCUUUCCAUCAUCCCACCCACGGCGCUCAACUCCAUGUCCUCCGACGGGUACUGGCAGGCCUCCAAAAACGGGUGUGGCAGCCCCCUCCUAGUCUUCGUCAAUUCGAAGAGCGGGGACAACCAGGGCGUCAAGUUCCUUCGUCGUUUCAAGCAGCUCCUUAACCCAGCUCAGGUCUUUGAUCUUAUGAAUGACGGCCCACAUAUAGGGCUGCGAUUAUUCCAAAACUUUGACACAUUCCGUAUCUUGGUGUGUGGUGGUGAUGGGAGCAUCGGAUGGGUGCUUUCAGAGAUUGACAAAAUGGAACUCCACAAACAGUGUCGAAUAGGUGUCCUGCCCUUGGGUACCGGCAACGACCUUGCCAGGGUGUUAGGCUGGGGAACAGCCUGCGAUGAUGACACUAAUCUACAGGUCAUACUGGAGAAAUUGGAGAUAGCUAGCACAAAAAUGCUGGACAGAUGGAGUAUAUGGACACAGGAGAUCCCCAUGGCUCAUGCAGAAGAGGUGACACCCGGGGAACCAGUGGAAGGAGACAACAAGAUGGGCGGGGUCGGUCUGGAUGCGGAGAGCCAUCGGGAAAAGGAGAUGAUCUCCAGCUACGAGGACUCGGUCGCAACGCAUCUCGCAAAAAUCCUCCACUCGGACGAAAACACUGAAGUCAUCUCUUCAGCCAAGGUGCUGUGUGAGACAGUGAAAGAUUUUGUAGAGAAGAUAGGACAUGCCUACGAGGAAGGGGGCUCCCAUUCCAAAGAUGCACAGAUCAUGAAAGAGAAGUGCAAUCUCUUAAAUGAGAAGUUGAACCUUCUGCUGCAAACCCUGAAGGUGGAGGCCCAGGCCACGCCCUUACCCCCCGGAUCCAUCCUCCCCAUCAUCACGGCUGCCGCGGCCGCCGCUGUUACCACCACCACUACCAGCUCUGGAGGGGGCGUCGGCACCCCUCCCGUCCUUCCCCGCUCCCCAUCAUUCCACGGCUCGGAGAAGCACCUGGAGGAAUCGCAAGAGAAGGACGUCUGUGAGAGCAAGGACGGGGCCGGAGACGGGGAUACCCUUGAACAGAUGACCGGUCCCUCAACAUCGUCCAGAGUCUUCAAGCCUCGGGAUGCUCUCAUGUCAAGGGCCAACAGCCUAAAGAAGGCUGUCCGUCAGAUUAUUGAACAAACAGAAAAAGCGGUUGAUGAACAAAAUGCACAAACAGAAGAGCAAGAGGCCAAGACCAUCAAAGCCAUUGCAGCUACAGCCGCUGCGGCCAUAACCAGUGCUACCACAGCUACAACACAGGCACCCAAGCCUAAGGUUACCAUAGUAACGCCAUCCAGCGACCUGGAGAUGUCCGACCAAGAGGACGACAAUAACGUGUCAACCAAAGUGCCUGAAUCAUCGGAAUCGACCAAAGAUGACCCCCAAGGUUCCAGGCCAUCACCUUUCUCCAUCUAUCUCUCAUCCACCAAAGCCAAGAUUGAGAAGAAGAAAGAGCGCAUUGGGCUGAAAUCACCUCGGUCUCCGUUCAGAAUGCGUCGCAUCAGCCACGGCAGCACGCUCUCCUCUCAUCACGGCUUUGGUUUCGGGCCCGUGGGUGUCUCGCAGAAGUUUGGCAGCAUGGAAAACAUUUCCAUUUUGCCAGGUUUAGAUACUUUAUUAGGACCCAGUUUAGGGCGCACGAACCCCAUGCUAAGCAAGAGUAUAGGCACGCUAGCCGGAGGAAUGGGCGGGGCUGGUAUCAUCAGCAAAGUGCUAUUAGCCAAUGCCGAUGCCCUGUGUGCCGCUGCGUCGCCGCUAAUGGACCAAGACACUGAUAAAGUAGAGGGCUUUUCAGAAUCCUGCGUCAUGAAUAACUAUUUUGGGAUAGGAUUGGAUGCCAAAAUCACCUUAGAUUUCCACAAUAAAAGAGAGGAGCAUCCAGAAAAAUGCAGAAGUCGCACCAAAAACAUGAUGUGGUAUGGAAUGUUGGGAACCAAGGAGCUUGUUCAUCGGACGUACCGUAACCUGGAGCAGAAAGUACAGCUGGAGUGCGAUGGUCAAAGGAUACCCCUCCCCAGUCUUCAGGGGAUUGUGGUCCUCAAUAUCCCUAGUUAUAUGGGCGGGGCUAACUUCUGGGGGACCACCAAAGAGGAUGAGACCUUCACAGCACCAUCGUUUGAUGAUAAAAUCCUUGAAGUUGUAGCAGUCUUCGGUGGAAUGCAGAUGGCAGUCUCAAAACUCAUUACCCUCCAACAUCAUAGGAUAGCACAGUGUCGGGUUGUGAAAAUCACCAUCUUGGGAGAAGAGGGUGUCCCGGUGCAGGUGGAUGGAGAGGCAUGGGUACAACCGCCAGGACUUGUCAAGAUCCUACACAAGAAUAGAGCUCAGAUGCUGGUCAGAGAUAAGCAAUUUGAGAGUACCCUCAAGUCAUGGACGGAGAGGAGAAAGAUAGAGCGCCCUCUACAACCCCUUAUUGACGAGGAGAUUGAAAUUGUGAGGCAUUUUUGUGGCACAACAUCCCAGCUUAUUGACACAAUCAAGAUUGCUGCUCAGCACAGCAGUCCCAUACAGUCCGAGCUCCUGCACAAGGCCAUGGCAACAGCUGCUUGUCAGGAACGCCUCUUUAGCACUGAACGAUCAACAGAGGGAAUGAGCAGAAAGGUCCUUAAUGAAGUUGUGGUCAGUGCGAGGAAUCUUUUCAGCGAGAGCAGUCUCUUUAUGGCCAGAAAGGCAUAUGCAUUGCGUUUACCGGAAAACAUCCUUGACGCACUCAACCACGACAUCAACGCCGUCGACAACGAGCUUCGCAAGGUUUCGACUAUAGAGGGAGCCAUUUGUUAUGUGGAGGAGGAGGGGCAUCAUCACCACGCCCAUAUACCGGUGGAUGUGUAUAGGAAACAUACCAAGGGGAAGUUCAAGAUACCCAUGGUGUCGAGGUUCAAGAAGCCGACGAAGAAGGACUUCAAGUCGUCAAGCUCUGCGACUGGAGGAUUGAGCGUUGUCAAGCAAUGGACUGUGGAGGAGGUAGGGGCGUGGCUUGAGGGCUUGUUGCUAGGUGAAUACAAGGAUCAGUUUAUCAGGAAUGAUAUCAGAGGGUCAGAGCUUCUAAGUCUGGAGAGAAGAGAUCUCAAGGAUAUUGGAGUAACCAAAGUGGGCCACAUCAAGCGAAUCCAACAAGCCAUCAAAGACCUAGACAAAAGAGAGGUGGAGCCUACAGUGCUGGAGGCGGGACCUUCAGGCAGUGGGGCUCUCUGAUUGGUUAUAUCAACAAUGGAACAUCAUGGAUGGUUGGAAUGCUUCAUUUCCCCUGAAGGGGUGUAUAGUUGUCAUGUAAAAUGAGGUAAUUUAUUCAUUGUAAAUUGGAGGUGAAAGCUUAACUACAAUGGAGGUUGUAAAUGUUUGUUUUAUUCUUUGGGGUUGAAAAAAAAAAAUUGGUGCAGAAAAGACAGAAAAUAUCUUACUUCUGGGAAGAAAAGAAAACGUAUCUAGUUUUUAGCAAUACAACAGAAAGCCAAACAAAAAUGUUUUUUGAGUUGGAAAAGUAAUCAAGCCCGUAUGGCUGAUUUGUAAAGCUGAUGGCUAGAAACAAAUAUCAGAAAAUUUUGAAGAAAACAACUCAUUCAUGAAAAUGCAUGUGGAAAAAUAUUGGUGUAAUGUGGGAAAAUAAAUAAGGAAUGAAGCUUAAAGGGUUUUGCUUGUUGGAAAAGGUUUUUAUGAUAAUAGACAUGAAACUUGGAAUUGGGAGAGGUAUUUAUUACUUAAUGUCAAGAAAUGACUUCAAAAGUUCAGAUUUUACCAUUAUGCAUUUGUAUGUCAAUACUCAGCGUAUUCACACAUCUGUUAAUGAUACAGGUGUCAUUGAAAUGCAAUGGUUCAUUUAUAAUAAUCAAAUAUAUAAUAUUCAUAAUCAUCAUGUAUCAAAAUACAUCAUAUUCAUGCAACUAUGCAACAUACAAUCACAAUAAAUGGGGGUGUUUAUAAGAUGCAUUGAGUUUUUAUACCAAUGCCAAGUUGCAUUCAGAUUUUUAUCAAUGUCAUGUAGACAUAAGUACCUGAGGUACACCUGACAUAGCAUUGACUGAUGCACGCAAGUCGUCAUCAGUCCCACAGAUUUAUCCAAGCACGUUUCGUCUGUUGACCAGAUUGGAGAUUCUUCCAAAUAAUAUGAUGAUAUAAUCAAGAUUUAUUCAGACAAUACACAUAAGUCAUAUCAGACCUCCAGAUUUGGGUCCUGUUACUCAAAGAGUAGCGAGUGAUUUUACAAUUGAUUCUCUUUAUUGAUUGUACAUGGAGAUCUAUGUGCAAUCAAUCGUAAGAAUUUGUUCAACGAUCAAUUGAUCUGCAUCAUGAUAGGGAGCACAUAUACAGAGCCCUGUAAUAUAAAGCUUAGUAACUGAUUGUAGCACUGAUUUUUACGAUUGAUCAUACACAAUAAUCAAUGCAAUCAAUCGUAGAAAUCAGUCUCACAAUUAAUUGCAAAACUUUAUGUUACUGGGUUCUGAAACGAACAUAUGAUUCGCACUUUGAUUUCAAUUAUGGUGCAAGUCAUGAUAACGGAAGAGAAUUUUUACAAGUAAUUCUUAGUGUAACAGAAUCAAUGUAAUGCCGUUCUUGCACUCCAGAGGCAAGAUGCAUGUCUAUAUCCUGCAAGAAGGGUUUAAGUGCUACAUAUGACCUUCUUCAGGAACCAAACAGAAUCAGGAAUUAUCAAAUGCAGAAAGAAACUUAAAGGUUAACUGAUUUUUUUUUUGAGAGAGAGAGUAAUGAAUAUGAUGAACGUGAAGAAUUAAAAAGUGGGAUAUCAAUUGAAAACUUUUGAUAUGAGGUAUAGGCUUGUUCUGGGUCUCAUUGCACAAAGUGUAGCAGAUUUAUUUAAAAGUACAGAAAAUAUGGAGAUGAUAUGAAAUUUGAAAUACUAAGGUGAAUGCUUUUGUAAAGAUGAAUAAAGAAUACAAAAAAAAAUUAUUGCAAAUUUGUAAGGAGAAUUUUGUAUUGGUAUGAAGUAAAGGCUUGCACAGGCAUCUUUGCACAAAUUUGGGUGUCGAUAGUGUACAGAAAAUCAUGAAGAUAAUGUUAAUGAUAUGAUGUUUAUGGUCAGAGAAAAGAAAAUAAUGCUAAAAAAUGUUAGAUUUGUAAAGAAUGUGGAUUGCUUGAAAGAUUUUGAUAGGUAAUAAAGCUUGUACAGGUCUCAUCGCACAAAGCUGUUUUGAAGAAAAAUUAUCAAAAAGCUGUACACCGUGUUAAAGACAGAUUGCCAUAUAAGCAGUUUUUUUACACUCAUCUUUGCACAGAAUAAUUGCAAUAUGUGUACAAAUUCUAUGAAAAGGGAGAGAUGAGGGCUAAAGAAUGCACCAGCAAAAGAUUGUGGUUAUGUGCAUUGUAUAGAUGUAAAAAGCAAUGUAUGUUUUUUUAAGAGGAGCAGGUAAAAAAGCCAGUUCAGUUUGCUAGCAUAACUCAGUGGAAUGCACCAUAAAAAAGGUGAUUAAUUUUCCGACGUACAGUAAAUAAACAAUGCAAGAAAGUUAACUCAAUGAAAUGCAGACAAAGCAGGGCAGAAGGUCCAACAAUAUAUAAAAAAUGUGGGAAUAAGGAUAAGAGUUACAUGACUUGUACCUUUAUUUUAAUAUGGAAAUAAUGUGAAUAUCAGACAGGUGAUCCAGACGGUUUUGGGUUUUAAAAAUGCGCGAGUAUUUGUUUUUGUUUUUUAAGCUUACUUUUUAAUACCGUAGUUAUGUGAUGAAAAAUUGGGGGCUGGUACCCUAUUGCAAGUAUUACUUUCUUAGCGUGAUUUUAUGCCACUUUGUAUAUUGAAAAACGUAUUUAAAAAAAUGAAGAAAAAAAUGUUUCCAAGAGCCCUCUUUUUCCUCUUGUUUUGUAUGUACAGUAUUUAUGGAUUUGAAAAUGAGAGAUUAUUGUACUCUGCACAAAGAAAUGUAGAUUAUUUGGUAUCUAUU